rnacentral:rRNA from 1 species
AAUGAACGUUGGCGGCGUGGAUUAGGCAUGCAAGUCGUACGAGAAUCGUAGCAAUACGAGGAAAGUGGCGGAAGGGAGAGGAUUACGUGGUAAUCUACCCUCAGAACUGGGAUAGCGGCGGUAAACUGCCGGUAAUACCAGAUAAUGACUGUGGACCAAAGGUGUGAUUCCGUCUGGGAAUGAGCCCACGUCCUAUUAGCUAGUUGGCAGGGUAAUGGCCAAACAAGGGAAUGAUGGGUAGCGGGUGUGAGAGCAUGACCCGCUCUCACUGGGACUGAGAACUGCCCAGACACCUACGGGUGGCUGCAGUCGAGAAUCUGCGGCAAUGAGCGCAAGCUUGACCGAGCGACGCCGCGUGCGGGAUGAAGGCCUUCGGGUUGUAAACCGCUGUCGUAGGGGAGCAAGAGAUGAGGGUACUCCCUCUGAUUUGAGCGAUCCUAGGAGGAAGGACGGGCUAAGUUCGUGCCAGCCGCCGCCGUAAAAC